AUUGAACGCUGGCGGCAGGCUUAACACAUGCAAGUCGCACGAGUGGCGGACGGGUGAGUACUGCUUGGGAAUCUAGCUUAUGGCGGGGGAUAACUACGGGAAACUGUAGCUAAUACCGCGUACCAUAGUAUGAGCCCAAGUGGGAUUAGGUAGUUGGUGGGGUAAAGGCUAAACAAGACGACGAUCUCUAGCUGGUCUGAGAGGAUGACCAGCCAAAGUGGGAAGGAGAAACGGCCCAGACUCCUACGGGAGGAAGAAGUGGGGAAUAUUGCGCAAUGGGGGCAACCUGACGCAGCCAUGCCGAGUGAAUGAAGAAGGCCUUCGGGUUGUAAAGUUCUUUCGGUAGCGAGGCGUUAACUACAGAAGAAGCACCGGCUAACUCCGUGCCAGCCGCCGCGGUAAUAC
rnacentral:rRNA from 1 species